rnacentral:rRNA from 1 species
UGGGGGAUAUUGGACAAUGGGGGAAACCCUGAUGCAGCCAUGCCGCGUGUAUGAAGAAGGCCUUCGGGUUGUAAAGUACUUUCAGCGGGGAGGAAGGGAGUAAAGUUAAUACCUUUGCUCAUUGACGUUACCCGCAGAAUAAGCACCGGCUAACUCCG